UGUUAUAUCAUCAAUACUGGAACCUGCAA
rnacentral:piRNA from 1 species